ensembl:lncRNA
CUCACUUAUAAUACAGCACGCGGCGCCGUUAAUCAGAAGCAGCCGGUUCUGGGGGCCCGAAGGUCAUCAGCCGAGGAGAGGAAAUUAUCGAUGGAAAUAAAGGUGCUGGACCUCCCUUUUAACCAGCACCACCCACCUCGGCGACCCUGACCUCUGACCUCUGCCCUAACCACCCCAGCGUCACUCUCCUGCCUGCUCAGCUCCACGUAACCACCUCGCCGACGCUGGUUGAAAGGCAUUCUGGGUAAAGACUCAAAUGGAAAGAGAUGCUGCAGGUUUAGGAGACAAGAGGUGAAUGAAGUCAGAGUAUUAACACG